UCAGGUAACACUGAAUGGAGGACCGAACCGACUUACGUUGAAAAGUGAGCGGAUGAACUGAGGGUAGCGGAGAAAUUCCAAUCGAACCUGGAGAUAGCUGGUUCUCUCCGAAAUAGCUUUAGGGCUAGCCUCAAGUGAUGAUUAUUGGAGGUAGAGCACUGUUUGGACGAGGGGCCCCUCUCGGGUUACCGAAUUCAGACAAACUCCGAAUGCCAAUUAAUUUAACUUGGGAGUCAGAACAUGGGUGAUAAGGUCCGUGUUCGAAAGGGAAACAGCCCAGACCACCAGCUAAGGUCCCAAAAUAUAUGUUAAGUGGAAAAGGAUGUGGCGUUGCCCAGACAACUAGGAUGUUGGCUUAGAAGCAGCCAUCAUUUAAAGAGUGCGUAAUAGCUCACUAGUCGAGUGACACUGCGCCGAAAAUGUACCGGGGCUAAACAUAUUACCGAAGCUGUGGAUUGUCCUUUGGACAAUGGUAGGAGAGCGUUCUAAGGGCGUUGAAGCAUGAUCGUAAGGACAUGUGGAGCGCUUAGAAGUGAGAAUGCCGGUGUGAGUAGCGAAAGACGGGUGAGAAUCCCGUCCACCGAUUGACUAAGGUUUCCAGAGGAAGGCUCGUCCGCUCUGGGUUAGUCGGGUCCUAAGCUGAGGCCGACAGGCGUAGGCGAUGGAUAACAGGUUGAUAUUCCUGUACCACCUAUAAUCGUUUUAAUCGAUGGGGGGACGCAGUAGGAUAGGCGAAGCGUGCGAUUGGAUUGCACGUCUAAGCAGUAAGGCUGAGUAUUAGGCAAAUCCGGUACUCGUUAAGGCUGA
rnacentral:rRNA from 1 species